AUAUCACUAAGCGGAGGAAAAGAAAUUAACUAAGAUUGCCCCAGUAACGGCGAGUGAAGCGGCAAGAGCCCAAACUGAAAAUCUCCACGUCUCACGUGGCGAAUUGUAAUCUAAAGGUGGGAAGCUCACCUGGUCCCGGCGCAGAAGUGCCUUAGAAUGGGCCGCCAUAGAGGGUGACAGCCCCGUAUGUGGUGCCGAGACCUAACGAGCUCCUUUCCAAGAGUCGGGUUGUUUUGAAUUGCAGCCCUAAGCUGGGAGAUAGACUUCUUCUAAGGCUAAAUAUUUAUGGGAAACCGAUAGCGAACAAGUACUGUGAAGGAAAGAUGAAAAGAACUUUGAAAAGAGAGUCAAAAGACUUGAAAUCGUUGAGACUGAAGCGGUAGAAAUUUAUUCUUCUCGUAAGAACAAAGGUGUUCUCCAAACCAUUGGCGGAUGCAAGUACUUUAACGGCUUGUUUUGUCACGUGGGGAAGAGAUAGCUGGGUUCUUACGGUGAGGCAAAAUGGGGUUUCGUUCCUUCAAAAGCUAUGCAAAUCUGGGGCCCUUCGGGGCUCAAUUUGUUUGUGCUGGGAGGGAUGGAGCCCGAGGAAGCUUCGUGCGAUUUUGCCAAAAUGGUUUUUACCGA
rnacentral:rRNA from 1 species